UCUAACUUAAGAAAACACAUCUACGACUUGAGCUUUUCAGUCCCCUGGUCUGCUGUGAGUGGGUGUCACAGGGCGCUUCUUCAGCGACUCCGUCGCAGUGGCGAUAAAGGCAAUUACAUUUACAGUGUUGUCCGCAGAUGUCAUAAAUCUGAUGAUCCUGGAGAGUCCUACUGCCUAAAUUCCUGUUGCUCUUUUGUCUGUUAAAUAUUUGUGCCAUGCUACUGGGAAAUGCCUACAAUAUCACCAAAUGGAACAAUAAAUAUCCAGCAUGAAGGACCUUUGGCAGAGGGGCUGAGAGCAGGGUUGUUUUCGUGGGACUGCAGAUCCUUGCUAGUGCUCUCCUUAUCGUACUGAUCCUGUGGUGUGUCUCUUUCAGAGAGCACAGAGACUAGGAUAAACCCUGCUCUUGGCAUAUUGGAAAUCUGCUGUCACCAUAGCACCUGCAAUUCCCAACAGCUAAAUUUUGAAAUGAAGUGCAUGGCAGGUCAGCACCAUUUAAAAUUUAAAAAAGCCUGUUACUCCUUUCGUUCGUGCUGUACAAUCUGCUCUGGGAUUCUUGCACUCAGGGCUUCAUUUGGUCAAGAAAUUGUUUUACUGAAGCUGCCCUUUAAUCGUGUUUCAUUGAGAACACCUGCUGUGUGGUUACCAGCGACUAGUUAUUCACUACUUUUUCUAGCCAUUACUAUUCUCUUAUUGGGGAAUUUCUCUUAGGGGAUGUAUUUUUGCUGCUUUGUUUUUUAAAGAGGGUUUUGUUUUUAAGCCUUCUCAGGCUGUAUAAAGUUGACGACUUUUCAGGGUCACUGGGAGGGGAAAAAAUGGUCUCGUGUCACAAACAAGCCUUCCAAGGAUUGUGAUAAAAGUAGCAAGAGAGCUAACGAGAUAGUUAGGCAGCACAUGUCUCCAUGUGGGACUUUGUGGGCACAUUAUCCACGAGAAAAAAAUGCUACUUAUAAGUAACAAACUAAUUCCAUCAAACGAUUUAAUUUUUAAUCUGUGCCAUAUUUCAAAACAUUCCUUCAAAUUAAAUUUCAAUUGACACUAGAGUUGUUCUUAUGAAAUCUCUGGACAUAAAAUUGCCCACAGGUUAUAGUCGCAUCUUUGAAAUAUUCUGCGCUUAACAGACCGUAAACAGGGUCUUUCUCAUCCUUACCUCUUAUUGUGGAGUCAGGGUG